CCUACGGGUGGCUGCAGUGGGGAAUAUUGGACAAUGGGGGGAACCCUGAUCCAGCCAUGCCGCGUGUGUGAAGAAGGCCCUCGGGUUGUAAAGCACUUUCAGUGAGGAAGAACGCCUGGUGGUUAAUACCCAUCAGGAAAGACAUCACUCACAGAAGAAGCACCGGCUAACUCCGUGCCAGCAGCCGCGGUAAUACGGAGGGUGCGAGCGUUAAUCGGAAUUACUGGGCGUAAAGCGCGCGUAGGUGGGUUGAUAAGCCGGUUGUGAAAGCCCCGGGCUCAACCUGGGAACGGCAUCCGGAACUGUCAAGCUAGAGUGCAGGAGAGGAAGGUAGAAUUCCCGGUGUAGCGGUGAAAUGCGUAGAGAUCGGGAGGAAUACCAGUGGCGAAGGCGGCCUUCUGGACUGACACUGACACUGAGGUGCGAAAGCGUGGGUAGCGAACAGGAUUAGAUACCCCUGUAGUC
rnacentral:rRNA from 1 species